CAAUAGCGUAUAUUAAAGCUGUUGCAGUUAAAAAGCUCGUAGUUGGAUUUCUGGUAGGAGUGACCGUUCCGAACUUGAUUGUUCGUGUAUUGUGUUUUCUCCAGCCAUCCUUGUGGAGAACUUUUCUUGCAUUAAUUUGUAGGGAUUGGGACCCGCAUCGUUUACUGUGAAAAAAUUAGAGUGUUUAAAGCAGGCAAUCGCUUGAAUACAUUAGCAUGGAAUAAUAAGAUAGGACUUUGGUACUAUUUUGUUGGUUUGCAUACCAAAUUAAUGAUCAACAGGAACAGUUUGAGGAUAUUCGUAUGAACAUGUCAGAGGUGAAAUUCUUGGAUUUUGAUCAGACGAACUACUGCGAAAGCAUUUAUCAAGGAUGUUUUCAUUAA
rnacentral:rRNA from 1 species